UACGGAGGUGGCGAGCGUUGCUCGGAAUCACUGGGCGUAAAGGGCGCGUAGGCGGGGAGGUAAGUCGGGUGUGAAAUCCCUUGGCCCAACCGAGGAACUGCGCCCGAGACUGCUUCUCUUGAGUCCCGGAGAGGAAGGUGGAAUUCCCGGUGUAGCGGUGAAAUGUGUAGAGAUCGGGAGGAACACCGGUGGCGAAGGCGGCCUUCUGGACGGUGACUGACGCUGAGGCGCGAAAGCGUGGGGAGCAAACGGG
rnacentral:rRNA from 1 species